CACUGAGAAGCUUUUUAAAGCAUCAGCCUUUUAAGUUGAAGAAGAAAUACACUUUCCUUAGUGA
rnacentral:tRNA from 1 species